rnacentral:rRNA from 1 species
UUCGCAAUGCCCGAAAGGGUGACGAGGCGACGCCGCGUGCGGGAAGAAGGCCUUCGGGUUGUAAACCGCUGUCGGGAGUUAAGAAAUGUAAGGAUGUUAAUAGCAUCUUUGCUUGACUAAGGCUCCGGAGGAAGCCACGGCUAACUCUGUGCCAGCAGCCGCGGUAAUACAGAGGCGGCAAGCGUUGUUCGGAAUUAUUGGGCGUAAAGAGCACGUAGGCGGCUAUGUAAGUCUGUUGCGAAAGCCUUCCGCUCAACGGGAGAACAGCAUCCGAUACUGCAUGGCUUGAGUGCGGGAGGGGAGAGUGGAACUUCUGGUGGAGCGGUGAAAUGCGUAGAUAUCAGAAGGAACGCCGGCGGCGAAAGCGGCUCUCUGGCCCAUAACUGACGCUGAGUGUGCGAAAGCUAGGGGAGCAAACGGGAUUAGAUACCCCGGUAGUCCUAGCCGUAAACGAUGGGCACUAAGUAGAGGGGUUUU